rnacentral:rRNA from 1 species
UAAAAAACCAACGCCCUUCGGGGCUCCUUGGUGAAUCAUAAUAACUUAACGAAUCGCAUGGCCUUGCGCCGGCGAUGGUUCAUUCAAAUUUCUGCCCUAUCAACUUUCGAUGGUAGGAUAGUGGCCUACCAUGGUGGCAACGGGUAACGGGGAAUUAGGGUUCGAUUCCGGAGAGGGAGCCUGAGAAACGGCUACCACAUCCAAGGAAGGCAGCAGGCGCGCAAAUUACCCAAUCCCGAUACGGGGAGGUAGUGACAAUAAAUACUGAUACAGGGCUCUUUUGGGUCUUGUAAUUGGAAUGAGUACAAUCUAAAUCCCUUAACGAGGAACAAUUGGAGGGCAAGUCUGGUGCCAGCAGCCGCGGUAAUUCCAGCUCCAAUAGCGUAUAUUAAAGUUGUUGCAGUUAAAAAGCUCGUAGUUGAACCUUGGGCCUGGCUGGCCGGUCCGCCUCACCGCGAGUACUGGUCCGGCUGGGCCUUUCCUUCUGGGGAACCCAUGGCCUUCACUGGCGUGGC